UAAAUAAUGUUGUUAAGUGUUAACUCAUUUCAUUAGAUAAACCUCUCAUUUCAAGUUCAAAAACAACUCUCACUUUCUUCUCCAUUCCUCCGCAACUAUAUAUGUCUCCCUCCAAAGUCGUCAACACCGCCAAAUACGUUUCUCCCGUUAUGAGAUGUACAAGCAAAACCUUGCUGGAACAGUUGAAUCCUACGAUCGUCAUGUCUUUCUAUGUUACAAGAACCACCAAACUUGGCCUCCGUGUGUUGAAGCCUCCGAUGACCAUCCCCUUCCUAAAAGUGUUGCCACUGCGACAUCCUCGUCAAGAUGAAAAUCACAGUUUGUGAGACGAUUGAAGAGGAUGGCUUCUCCGACGGCGACGUCUUGAUUUUCCCAGAAAUGAUCAAAUACAAGUAUAUUAUAUUGUUAUUACACAAGUAAACCAGUAUUAAGUAACAAAUGUUUUUUAAACAUAAUUUUUUUUUUCGGGAUUAAACAUCAUUCUUAUAAAAUGUCUUAUUCCUAGCACAUUGGGCACAUUUUUUACGAUUUCCACUUGUAUAUUAAUUCUUUCUUUCUCUCAUUAGAAUAUGAAAACACGAAAACUAAGUGUAUUUUAUACGUA